rnacentral:rRNA from 1 species
GACGAACGCUGGCGGCGUGCUUAACACAUGCAAGUCGAACGGAAAGGCCCUGCUUUUGUGGGGUGCUCGAGUGGCGAACGGGUGAGUAACACGUGAGUAACCUGCCCUUGACUUUGGGAUAACUUCAGGAAACUGGGGCUAAUACCGGAUAGGAGCUCCUGCUGCAUGGUGGGGGUUGGAAAGUUUCGGCGGUUGGGGAUGGACUCGCGGCUUAUCAGCUUGGUGGUGGGGUAGUGGCUUACCAAGGCUUUGACGGGUAGCCGGCCUGAGAGGGGGACCGGCCACAUUGGGACUGAGAUACGGCACAGACUCCUACGGGAGGCAGCAGUGGGGAAUAUUGCACAAUGGGCGGAAGGCUGAUGCAGCAACGCCGCGUGCGGGAUGACAGCCUUCGGGUUGUAAACCGCUUUCGCCUGUGACGAAGCGUGAGUGACGGUAAUGGGUAAAUAAGCACCGGCUAACUACGUG